rnacentral:rRNA from 1 species
AGAGCGAACGCUGGCGGCGUACUUAACACAUGCAAGUCGAACGAGGAUCAUCGGGUUAGCAAUAAUUCGGUGGUCCUAGUGGCGCACGGGUGAGUAACACGUGGGUGACCUGCCCUUGAGCUCGGGAUACCCCCUCGAAAGGGGGGCUAAUACCGGAUACGUUCCCCGGUCGAAAGACUGAGGAGGAAAGGUGGCGCAAGCUGCCGCUCUUGGAGGGGCUCGCGGCCUAUCAGCUAGUUGGCGGGGUAACGGCCCACCAAGGCUAUGACGGGUAGCUGGUCUGAGAGGACGACCAGCCACACGGGGACUGAGACACGGCCCCGACUCCUACGGGAGGCAGCAGUGGGAAUUUCCGCAAUGGGCGAAAGCCUGACGGAGUGACGCCGCGUGUGGACGAAGGCCUUCGGGCGUAAACCACUGUCAGUGGGAAAGAUGGGUGUCGGCGCUAAGUACCGCCGGCAUCUGACGGUACCUGCAGAGAACGCCCCGGCCAACUCUGUGCCAGCAGCCGCGUAAUCUA